GUCUUAUCGAUAAUUAAGCUCAGUGGCCAUCAAAAAUAAACAAUUAUUUUCUUGUUUUUUUUUUACUUUUCCCGAAACCAAAAACCGCGUCUGAAAUCCAAAAAUUUGAAUAAAUCCUGAUCUAUAGCUCGAGGAAAUUCGUCAGUCGAUAAGUAUGUGCUAAUUCGUCUUACAAAAUAAUGUUUUCAUUUUUGCGGUGUUCAAGUUGAAAGAGAAAAAUACUGUAAAGUGCAUUUUUAUAUGUGUGUGUUUGUGCAUGCAGUGGUUCAUACGAAUGUGUGUACAUAUUGAAUAUACAAUUGAAAGCCCCAAAAACAGUUCUCUGGUCGCAGGAAACCUGUAAACAAGAAACACUCAAACUGAAGACGACUUGACGGCUCUCACUUGCUUUUUGUUUUCAUUUUGCUUCCCCGAUUUGUGUUUACCCCACCGGUUCUAUGCGGCUGGCCCAAACAGCAACCACAGCCACACAGCAACAACGUUAAACCACAAAUUUAUUAU